CCUACGGGAGGCAGCAGUGGGGAAUAUUGGGCAAUGGGCGGAAGCCUGACCCAGCAACGCCGCGUGAGGGAAGAAGGCCCUCGGGUUGUAAACUUCUUUUCUAUAGGACGAAGUAGUGACGUUACUAUAGGAAUAAGCCACGGCGAACUACGUGCCAGCAGCCGCGGUAAUACGUAGGUGGCGAGCGUUAUCCGGAUGUACGGGGUGUAAAGUGCGUGUGGGCGGGAGAGCAAGUCAGAUGUGAAAACUACAGGCUUAACCUGUAGACUGCUUUUGAAACUGUUCUUCUUGAGUGUUGGAGAGGCAGGCGGAAUUCCUAGUGUAGCGGUGAAAUGCGUAGAUAUUAGGAGGAACACCAGUGGCGAAGGCGGCUUGCUGGACUGUAACUGACGCUGAGGCGCGAAAGCGUGGGGAGCAAACAGGAUUAGAUACCCGUGUAGUC
rnacentral:rRNA from 1 species